rnacentral:rRNA from 1 species
UACGGAGGGUGCAAGCGUUGUUCGGAAUUACUGGGCGUAAAGGGCUCGUAGGUGGCCAACUAAGUCAUGCGUGAAAUCCCUCGGCUUAACCGGGGAACUGCGUCUGAUACUGGAUGGCUUGAGUUUGGGAGAGGGAUGCGGAAUUCCAGGUGUAGCGGUGAAAUGCGUAGAUAUCUGGAGGAACACCGGUGGCGAAGGCGGCAUCCUGGACCAACACUGACACUGAGGAGCGAAAGCCAGGGGAGCAAACGGG